GCUGCCAGCCCCGGCGGGGCACCGCGGGCACCUCGGGCUCCGGCUCGGUGCCCUGCUGGCCUCGCAGCCUCCGUGCUCUGUAUUUCAGCCCGAGCUGCUGGCGGCGGCCGUGCUGCGCUCCCGGCCCGCGGCUCUGCCUCUCUGGCCGGCCUUCCAGCGCCACCCAGGGAGCGGCUCCGUGACCCGAAGGGCUCCGCCGUGUGCUUUCCCUGCGCCGGAGCCAAGGGCGAGGAAGCGGCCACAGCCCACGGGGCUGCUCUUGGGAUGGAGCCGAGCAUCCGCUGUGAACGAGCCCCUGAGCACGGCUCGGAUUCGUGAGGAUACUGGUUGCCACCCUGCCACACGUGUAAAGACUCUGCAGAAGUUUUGAAGAAAGGACUUCUGGGGCUGCCUGAAGCAGCAACAGAUAGAACCACUGCCAGAACUAGACUCUGGGGACCAGCAGUCUCAAGGACUGAGCAACAGCUUUCCACUGAAAUAAUCAUUGUUUUUCCAGGAAGCUUCACUGGAGAUGCCACAUGCAAUCAGGAUUUUACACGGGGCAAGAACCACAGGUACAAGAGUGCAGGGCCUGCUGAAGGGCAUCAGCUGCUCUGGCUGAGGUCAGGAACUGCUGUGCCAGCUCAAGCUUCCACUGUGGCACCAUUCCAGGUCCAGAUUCUGGUUUGUAUUUCUUGCCACAUCACGAGAGAAUGAGAAAAGCAGAUGAAAGGUGAAAAACUGAAAAUGGGAAAUGAACCAGCUAUGCCAUCUUAAAGAAGCAGGAACAAAAAAAACAGAUUUACUGUUUCCAAACAUACAAUCUCAGGGGAUGGGAAUACAACCGUGCUUGAAAGGUAUCUCUGGACAAAAGUGCACAGAGAACAGCUCCAUAAAAAAGAUCAGCAGCCAUCCUGUAGUGAAUGGUGCAUGCCUUCUGUGUGGCUUCACAUAAGACCUUCAACCAUGAGGUGUCCCAGGCUUCCCAAGGAAAAAUUGAGAAUAACCUUGUGUCACCAAGCAUAGUUCUAAUAUAAUUCUGCUUACCACAGAGUAACAUAAACAAAACAAUGUUAUUUUAUUAGGUGCCUAUUCCAGCAGAUUUCUGCUUAAAGGAGGAGAAAGCAGUGCUUGUUUUCUGUAGGAACUGGCUCUACAUUACAACCCUGAAAGCUCAGCUUUCCUGCCUGGUUCCAGCUCUGUCAGAAGGAGCUAAAGGGUAGAUACCAGUCAGACAACACACUGAUGGAAGAGAUGUCAGCUUCCCAAAAUCACUGCCUCUCUGGGAAUUAUUUUAACUCUCUUGAUCUCCAAGAACUACCAUGCCUUAGAGAGGAAUGUUUCAGAGUUGAGGGGAAAAAGAGAAGAACAAGCUUGGAAAGCAAACAAACUACACUGGAAGCCAAUACUUGUUCAUGUGGUUAUGUGCUUGCCUCCUCCCAUGGCCUGAGCUAGCUUUUGGCUCUACUCUUUGGAGCAGACUGAACAAAGAUAAUCCCCAAGCAGUGAAUCCCACCAUUCUCAGAGGACUGCAGGUGCCCUGGUCACCACUUUAACUGAAGAAAUUACAUGUAGCUUCUUUGUGAAUUUGUCUUAUGUUUAGCUCCAUCAGGAUCAGCAAGUUAACUUUUCAGGUUCCCAUUUCUGGGACAUUCUUCUCCCCUUUGUUCUGCUACUUCCUUGUUCUUGACAUCUGUAUGAACAUUUGCAAUAACACAGAAUAAAAAAUUCAAUUUUAAAGCUGUUUCCCUGAGGUGUAAGGGUCAUUCUAUCAGCCUGCCUUGAUCUGAUACGCAAGGCCUGGGUGACCAUCACAAAUAACACGUUUCAAAAGCUGUGGUCCUGCAGAUCUGAGGGUCUGCGGAGAGCCUGCAGACUGCAAGUCCUGUUCUGUCCUUCCUGGAAAAAUUUUUGUUUAGUAUCUUGGAUUCCUAUUCAAGUGCUGGGCUGGCCAUGCCACUGGUAGGGAGAUCAAGAGCCAGAGCUAUUAGCACUCAGCAUUAACACUGGGCAGGAAUUAUUUUGGCUCUGCAGCAAGGUUUCCCUGCCACCUCUUGUCCCCAGUUUUCUCUGCUGAGGCAACAACUUAAUGGGGAUCAACCCCAGCAGGGUGGAGCACUAUCACAUCCCAACACCAGUGACACAGAGGGGGCAACUGUUCCCAUGGGAAUGAAAUCCCACAUUUUAAUGGCAAGCACAUCUAAUAUACCUCUUCUAGGAGUGUGUGUGGAGACUCCUCCCUUCACUCCCCUCAAGGCUGAGCAGAAUAGAUUUGCCCACAGUUGUUGGUAUGGCUGAAUAACAUCAGUCUCUACUUAAUUGUUUUGCCAGCUUUAAUAUUGCUGUUUCAAUAUUGCUUCAAUAAAUAGUGCACUGCACUAAUAGUUAUAACUAUCUGUACUGUGCAGUAAAUCAUUCUGAUUAAGGUAUUUUAGUUUAAUCAUUAUAAU